rnacentral:rRNA from 1 species
UGACAGCUGUCGAAAGAUGGUUUUCUUCGGACACUCUUCAAGGUGCUGCAUGGUUGUCGUCAGCUCGUGCCGUGAGGUGUCGGGUUAAGUCCCAUAACGAGCGCAACCCUUACCGUUAGUUACCAUCAGGUUAAGCGUGGGGACUCUAGCGGGACUGCCACCGUAAGGUGAGAGGAAGGUGGGGAUGACGUCAAAUCAGCACGGCCCUUAUGUCCAGGGCUACACACGUGUUACAAUGGCCGGUACAAAGGGCAGCUACUUCGCGAGAAGAUGCUAAUCUCGAAAGCCGGUCUCAGUUCGGAUCGAAGUCUGCAACCCGACUUCGUGAAGCUGGAUUCGCUAGUAAUCGCGCAUCAGCCAUGGCGCGGUGAAUACGUUCCCGGGCCUU